CAUCCCCUACCGUGUUCGUGAUGGGGCAGUGGUCCUUGAGCCAACAUUCGACGAUCGGGAGCCCUCUUCCCGGCGCGGUGUGCACGCCCGCCCUGCAGGGGUGGGAAGCCUGAAGCGCCGGCGGGGCGCCCCCCUAGAGAGCCCGGUUCAAGCGAACGCCCGCACACGGCACAAUGGUGGGGGACUU
rnacentral:other from 1 species